AAUUUCUUCCAGGAGAAACUCAGAAUUUGUCCAGUUGGAAUGUACAGAGUUUGGCAAAUUCCAUAUUUGCAUCAUAGCAGUAAAAGGAAUCUCUGCUUCUUUUGAAUGUCACAUUUCCUGCUUUGCCUCUGCUGCUAUACAAGACUUUCUGGGUUAUAAAUUUGCAUCACUCCUCUGUUCAAGCACACCAGCUCCACCAGAAUCAUUCAGAUGAAUCUACAGCCUUCUAAGCUCAGGAAUCAGAUCCUGUCUCAGCUCCUGUUCAAGAACCUCGCUGUCAGAAGUCUGCAAGUGCUGCCAUGAGGUGCUGCAAGGCAACAAACUGAUGAGACAGCUGCAAAGAGACCCUGAGCAGUGGUGGAAUGAAACUGGGAGAGCAGGGAUUCAUCCAUCCAAAGAACCAGGAGGUUUUUAUCACUGCAGACAGUGCUGAUCCUCAGGUCCACAAAAGAAAAGUUAAGGAAUGGAGAUAACCUGUGUGUGGCAGGAUGCAAAAGCUCUCUAGGGGUAGGACAUAAAAUAAUAAAUGAGUUGAUGAUAAGAGGUAAAGAGAUCAGAGUGUGACAGAAUGUGUUCUGCAGCUACUGAAGUGUGUUGGACAAAAUGAGGGCUCUCUGCUAUUUGUGCAUCUUGUAAAAAUGUCCUGUAUUUUUAGCAUUUUGUGGAAUGAAAGUUUUAUGUGCUAUUAAAUGCUGCUGGCAAAUGACUGAGACCAGCAAACUUAAACACACCUCAAUUUUCCCUACUUUGGUACUCCUUGCUGUUACUUAGUAACAUCAGAGAGAUUUUACUAUAAACUUUUCUUUUGCCUAUGAAAAAACAUUCACUCUGCCACUUCCUCAGUCUGUAUUUAUGCCAAACAGCACAUUUGGUAAAGGAAGGGAAAGUGGUCCAGUUCUCUGCCUGACAGGCCAAAGAGAAAUGCUUUUAACAGCUAUA